GCGGGAUGACAAAUCUCCCGGGCGUGUGUCUGUCCCGUCCUUCCAGACAGCGCUGCGUCCCCAUCUCGGCGGCGGACCGGCCGGCGAGGAGCUGUAAUGUCUUGGAGGAUCCUUGCUGCCAAGAUGCGGAGUUACCAGAGGAAGUGAUCAGGUUGGAUAGCAUAAGGGAAGAGGAAAGAGAGAUGGGACAUUCUCUGAGACUCAGCAGCUUGAAAAGCCACCAACCUCACCUGCAGUUGAGAAAUUGGCAGUGUUCACCCCUAAUAUGAAGGUAGUCCUGUAAGGCAUCAGAACCACAGAGAGAAGAGGCCAAAAGCCAGAGAAGCAUCACUGAAACAGGAUUAAGAAAUACAGUAUCUGAAAAAAUUAGGAGCCUACAGAAACAGAAAUAUUAAUAUCUGCCUCAAGAUCCCACAGGACAUGACUGGCAAGAAAAAGUAAUACAGAUUAUGGAUGUAUGAGAUGUGAGCUUCAGCAAGAGGGAGAUGCACUGGAGCCAUAGGACCUUUCUGUCUCACACUCCUGGGGCUCAGGGAGCACCUAAGGGGCUCACUACACAUCCCAGAGCUGACACACUGUGGGUGCAGAGAAAACUUGGGCACUUCUGCUCUCCUGCCUUGCUUUCCUCAUUUGCCUUUGAAUGCAGUAGUCAAGUGAAUAGUAAAGUUCAGGAGCCUGAUUUCUCAUCACAAAACUAUUCCAUCUGUCAGGCAGGAAAGGUGUGUGGGCUACUGCCUUGUGAAUGCAUUGUCCUCUGCUGGCAAAGAAAUGGGACCACGCUGGAGCAAGCAACAUUUCCUAUGAAAGUCUCUGUCAGAAAUGCUUGGAAGAAAAGCAUCUGCUGAAUGGUCUGCCAGAGGACAACUCUAAGCUGAGGUCUCAGCAUCCUUACAGUAAAAAAGUGUUUCCUCAUGUCCAGAGAGAACCUCCUGUAUUUCUGUAUGUGAAAGAAGCACAAAUACGGAGUCUGGCUAGUGGUGCCAACUGUUUUUUGCAGGAGUACCAAAAGGCACCCAACAGCACUGACACCCUGUUACUGUGUGUGUUUCCUUUGUUUUCCGGAGAAAAUAUGCUUGACAGAGGGAGGAACAAGCUGUCCACAGCUGUCCCAACAACUCUAAUACCAGGAAGCAGGCCCAGACAUUGGGCUGCCUGCCUGUUGCAGGCUUCAGAGACAAAAUGGGGAAUAGUCAUGACACUAGGCCUGCCAUGAAGCACGAAUGCAUUGAGUAAAAAGCACACUAAUUUCACGACUAUAGGGCACACCAGAUUAUAAGACGCACCUCCGGGAGUCAGCAAAUUUCACAACUUUGUACAUUAUAUA